UACGGGGGGGGCAAGCGUUGUUCGGAAUUACUGGGCGGUAAAGGGCUCGCAGGCGGCCGACUAAGUCAGACGUGAAAUCCCUUGGCUUAACCAAGGAAUGGCGUCUGAUACUGGACGGCUUGAAUCCGGGAGAGGGAUGUGGAAUUCCAGGUGUAGCGGUGAAAUGCGUAGAUAUCUGGAGGAACACCGGUGGCGAAGGCGGCAUCCUGGACCGGUAUUGACGCUGAGGAGCGAAAGCCAGGGGAGCAAAGCGGG
rnacentral:rRNA from 1 species